UGUGUGAAGAAGGCCUUCGGGUUGUAAAGCACUUUUCAGUAGGGAGGAAGGUAGUGUAGUUAACUACCUGCAUUAUUUUGACGUUUACCUACAGAAGAAGCACCGGCUAACUCCGUGCCAGCAGCCGCGGUAAUACGGAGGGGUGCGAGCGUUAAUCGGAAUUACUUGGGCGUAAAAGCGCAUGCAGGCGGCCUGUUAAGUCAGAUGUGAAAGCCCGGGGCUUAACCUCGGAAUUGCAUUUGAAACUGGCAGGCUAGAGUCUUGUAGAGGGGGUAGAAUUUCAGGUGUAGCGGUGAAAAUGCGUAGAGAUCUGAAGGAAUACCAGUGGCGAAGGCGGCCCCCUGGACAAAGACUGACGCUCAGAUGCGAAAGCGUGGGGAGCAAACAGGAUUAGAUACCCUGGUAG
rnacentral:rRNA from 1 species